GGAAAACUAAAGCCAAAUACCAGAGAGAGAGAUGUGCGUUUUGUCGGAACCCCGACGUGGACUACAGUUUGGCCGUGGAAGGGGUGACCGAUUAUUUCUUAAACAAACAAGAGUCACAAGCACACACUAUCUGAACCGCCCUUCACUAUCAGCACAUUCAACACAGUGAGAGAAACUACAAUAAAGAAUAAAAACAAAUACAGGUACUUUGUUACAGUAGCCCUCAGGGAUUAGUACUAGCUGCAGUUAGCCCAGUUGUCUGUGCUAAGCGCGCAAAAGUUUCAUCAUAAGUUCCCGAUUGAACCCCAUACAAAUCAGCCCGUCGUCUGAUCAGCAGACUACAUUUGAUUGAGUCCAUCUGGGACCAUACAGCAUGCAAUGAAGACUUUCUUCGAAAUUGGUGAAUUGAUAACAUGUACGUUAUUCUUUGUAGCUUUUUUGUUUGAUUUGGAAGGCUUUACAACGUUAUGGGCUGCCUUAGGUGUAACUUGUUUAAACUACAUUUCCCAGAAUCCUGACCAUAGCACCGCUGUAGAUACGCAGUGUUAUGAGUACUACCAUUUGGCAUCAAGACCUCUAUUUCACCCUGUACAUCCACUCCGUACACCAACCAACACCAACUCCAUACAUUGCAUUGACACAACAUCCAUCUACUGGUCUAUUCCUUUUGCACUUUAAAAAUUGGGGGGAGGGAGGGAGCAAGGGAGAGAGAGAGAGAGAGAGAGAGAGAGGAGAGGUACCCAAAGACGACGAGAAGCAGUACCCUAAAAUGGGCAGGUCUGAAACGCAGGGCUUGAAAGACGAAGACCGCGGAAAACAACCGUGUACUUCAAGUUGAUUAACGUUUGUAUAACUCCUAAGGGAAACAUGUGUGAUAUACAGUAAAUGGGGUCCUGUUGUUUAUCGUGCACGAUCCCCGGGGAAGAUUACCCCUUAAUGAAUUCCUCCAUAUCGCCCGACCCUUAGCCCCGCACCCGGCUCGCUCUUGUUUGUCCAAGACGAGGGUCCAAGAUUGCUAUCCAUCUUUUCAUCAAGGGAGUCCCAUAGUAGUAGCUUUGAGAGCCAAUUUGUAGGGCCUUAAGAAUGAAUGUGUUUCAUGUUUAAUGUUAU
ensembl:lncRNA